CUUGCCCUUUAGACUGGGAUAACAAGAGGGAAACUUCUGAUAAUACUGGAUAAGUUAGUAUAUCGCAUGAUAUGCAAAUGAAAGCUACGGCACUAAAGGAGAGCUUUGCGUCCUAUUAGCUAGUUGGUAAGGUAAGAGCUUACCAAGGCGAUGAUAGGUAGCCGGCCUGAGAGGGUGGACGGCCACAAGGGGACUGAGAUACGGCCCUUACUCCUACGGGAGGCAGCAGGC
rnacentral:rRNA from 1 species